rnacentral:rRNA from 1 species
CGUGUAGGCGGUUAAUUAAGUCAGGUGUGAAAGCCCUCGGCUCAACUGAGGAAGUGCAUCUGAAACUGGUUAACUUGAGUACGGGAGAGGAGAGUGGAAUUCCUGGUGUAGAGGUGAAAUUCGUAGAUAUCAGGAGGAACACCGGUGGCGAAGGCGACUCUCUGGACCGAUACUGACGCUGAGACGCGAAAGCGUGGGGAGCAAACA